rnacentral:tRNA from 1 species
CCUGGUGGCUCAGAUGGUAAAGCAUCUGCCUGCAAUGCAGAAGUCCUGGGUUCGAUCCAUAGGUCAGGA